CCUACGGGUGGCAGCAGUGGGGAAUAUUGGACAAUGGGCGAAAGCCUGAUCCAGCCAUGCCGCGUGUGUGAAGAAGGCCUUCGGGUUGUAAAGCACUUUCAGUGGGGAAGAAAGCCUUGGGGCUAAUACCCUCGAGGAAGGACAUCACCCACAGAAGAAGCACCGGCUAACUCCGUGCCAGCAGCCGCGGUAAUACGGAGGGUGCGAGCGUUAAUCGGAAUUACUGGGCGUAAAGCGCACGUAGGCGGUCUGAUAAGCCGGUUGUGAAAGCCCCGGGCUCAACCUGGGAACGGCAUCCAGAACUGUCAGGCUAGAGUGCAGGAGAGGAAGGUAGAAUUCCCGGUGUAGCAGUGAAAUGCGUAGAGAUCGGGAGGAAUACCAGUGGCGAAGGCGGCCUUCUGGACUGACACUGACGCUGAGGUGCGAAAGCGUGGGUAGCAAACAGGAUUAGAUACCCCAGUAGUC
rnacentral:rRNA from 1 species